GGUCCGAUUUAGCCAUGCUAGUUGCACGAGUUCAUACUCGUGGCGAAAAGCUCAGUAACACGUGGCCAAACUACCCUACAGAGAACGAUAACCUCGGGAAACUGAGGCUAAUAGUUCAUACGGGAGUCAUGCUGGAAUGCCGACUCCCCGAAACGCUCAGGCGCUGUAGGAUGUGGCUGCGGCCGAUUAGGUAGACGGUGGGGUAACGGCCCACCGUGCCGAUAAUCGGUACGGGUUGUGAGAGCAAGAGCCCGGAGACGGAAUCUGAGACAAGAUUCCGGGCCCUACGGGGCGCAGCAGGCGCGAAACCUUUACACUGCACGCAAGUGCGAUAAGGGGACCCCAAGUGCGAGGGCAUAUAGUCCUCGCUUUUCACGACUGUAAGGCGGUCGUGGAAUAAGAGCUGGGCAAGACCGGUGCCAGCCGCCGCGGUAAUACCGGCAGCUCAAGUGAUGACCGAUAUUAUUGGGCCUAAAGCGUCCGUAGCCGGCCACGAAGGUUCAUCGGGAAAUCCGCCAGCUCAACUGGCGGGCGUCCGGUGAAAACCACGUGGCUUGGGACCGGAAGGCUCGAGGGGUACGUCCGGGGUAGGAGUGAAAUCCCGUAGUCCUGGACGGACCACCGAUGGCGAAAGCACCUCGAGAAGACGGAUCCGACGGUGAGGGACGAAAGCUAGGGUCUCGAACCGGAUUAGAUACCCGGGUAGUCCUAGCUGUAAACGAUGCUCGCUAGGUGUGACACAGGCUACGAGCCUGUGUUGUGCCGUAGGGAAGCCGAGAAGCGAGCCGCCUGGGAAGUACGUCCGCAAG
rnacentral:rRNA from 1 species